rnacentral:hammerhead_ribozyme from 1 species
AUUUAACACACGAGUCCCAAAUAGGACGAAACGCGCGUCCUGGAU